CCUACGGGAGGCAGCAGUGGGGAAUAUUGGGCAAUGGGCGCAAGCCUGACCCAGCGACGCCGCGUGAGGGAAGACGGUCUUCGGAUUGUAAACCUCUUUCAGCAGGGAAGACAAAAGGACGGUACCUGCAGAAGAAGCCACGGCUAACUACGUGCCAGCAGCCGCGGUAAUACGUAGGUGGCAAGCGUUAUCCGGAAUUACUGGGUGUAAAGGGUGUGUAGGCGGGUUUGCAAGUCAGCGGUAAAAUCGCGGGGCUCAACCUCGCUCCGCCGUUGAAACUGGCGUUCUUGAGUGGGCGAGAAGUAUGCGGAAGGCGUGGUGUAGCGGUGAAAUGCAUAGAUAUCACGCAGAACUCCGAUUGCGAAGGCAGCAUACCGGCGCCCAACUGACGCUGAAGCACGAAAGCGUGGGUAUCGAACAGGAUUAGAUACCCUUGUAGUC
rnacentral:rRNA from 1 species